GCGGGUGUGGUGUAUGGAACACUGCUACUGUAAAUGGCCCAGAUUGAUACAGGUUCCAAUUUAUGUAGCUGACCUGGGUUCAAAUCCCGGCACCCGCA